rnacentral:piRNA from 1 species
GAUUUGGGGAUGUGGUGCUGUUGAAGGAU